CCCUCUCCCCCCAGAGCCCCCUCCCCAGCUCAUGCUCAUGUUCUAAUAAAAUCUUAAAAAAAAAAAAAAAAAAAAAAGAGCUAGUAGUUAAAGCUGAGCUCUUCAGCACCUACUUCGUCCACACCUCCCAUAUCAGACUGUGAAUAUGGGUAAAGAUCCCUAAUAUUUCUCUACAGCCAGUUUUAUUUGAAUAAAUCAGAAAAGGGAAACAAGAGUGCAUAAAUAUUCAUUCUAACUACUGGGGAAUCUAGAAAGAGCCAAGCUCUUCUUUCCAAUAACUCUGUGCUUAGAUCAACAUAAACUCCGUCUGCAUUAAAGAGUAGUAGUAGUGUAUUAAUUGCCAAUUAAAUAAGACAAUUAGGUUAGCUAAUAUUUAAAAAGUAAAAUGAGCUCUUUCCGCCAUCUUUCUGUGCGGCCGUAAUGGUGCACACGAAUGUCCUGGCAGAUGCUCUCAAGAGCACUAACAAUGCUGAGAAGAGAGGCAAACGCCAGGUUCUUAUUAGGCCGUGCUCCCAAGCCAUCGUCCGGUUUCUCACUGUGAUGAUGAAGCAUGGUUACAUUGGUGAAUCUGAAAUCAUUGAUGAUCGCAGAGCAGGGAAGAUUGUUGUGAACCUCACGGGCAGGUUAAACAAGUGUGGAGUGAUCAAGCCCCAGAUUCAAUGUACAACCGAAAGAUCUAGAAAAAUGGCAGAAUAACCUGCUCCCGUUCCACCAGUUUGGUUUCAUUGUACUGACAACCGCAGCUGGCAUCAUGGACCAUGAAGAACCAAGACGAAAACACACAGGAGGGAAAAUCCUGGGAUUCUUUUUCUAGGGAUGUAAUACAUACUUGCAAAUAAAAUGCCUCGAUGGAAAAAAAAAAAGUAAAAUGAAUCUAUUUCUACUUAUCCAAAAAGCAAAUACUUAAGUAUAAAAUGUCUCAUUGCUGAGACACGACCAAAGGGUCAUUCACCAAUAGUGCUGUGAUUUCAAAAGUACAACCACCUGAAAGAAAUGCCAUUUAAAUCAACGCCCCUACUCUCCAGAAACAGAAGGCAGAGUAAAUACCAAUCAUCUGCCAAGUCAACAAAGACCCGCCCAAAGACCCUUUACUUCUUCAAACAAGUAAUUUCAUUCAAAUAAAGUAGCGUAAUCCAGAGGGGGAAAAAACAAAAACCCAAAACAAAAACCUGAUUAUAUUGGACUUUAAGAUUAGAUCCAGGUAAAGAGAAUGAAAAGACAAGCCACAGGCAGGGAGAA